GCGCAACCUAUCUCGGUCUCUUUUUCUGGCGGGACCUGAACGCGAGCGGACGUAUUCUUCGCCGUUGUGAGGAAGUGUUUCGGGAGAAAGGGAGUCGUUCUACGCAACCUCGAGUACUGACUGGGCUAACGUAGCUGUUAGCAUUACGUACCGCCGGGAUUUCGCCGCCCGUAUAACAUCGUCGGAGUAUCGUUCAACGUUCUUCUGGCCGGGUCUUUUGUGGAGUUUCAAUUGAGGACAGCGCUGGGAUUAGCGUGCCUUCAGUGGAGUGGAUUCCAUUACGGUGCCCUGACGUCCAAAAGUGCUGGAAAAGGGGGUCCAGUGGUGGUGGCGAGCCAACCAAAGAACACACAAUAUAUUACAUUUGAUAAAUUUUAAUUUAUUUUAUUUGUGUUGGUGAUGUUUAGAAGAAUUUAUUUUGUACGAUAGGAGCUGACAAGAACAUUUUGUGUUUAGUUAUUUCAUUCAGAUUGAAAGAAAAAAAAAACUCACACCGGUGUUGAGAAAGGUGAUCACCAAUUAUUUUGUUUGAGGGAAAGGUCAACUAAGAGGUUGAGACUAAAUUGUAUUUAUUUACUUUCUUUUUUCCACUGUGGUUGUUGUGAUAAUAAUUUUGUUGUCCUGUGUCUGUUUGAUAUAAAAGUUAAUUGUUUUUACAACUGUUGUCUUGUUUCUUUGCCCAUGCCACCCCCUCAAUAGUGACAUCAUUGGCUCCAGUGAAUCGAACUUGUGUCCCCUUACUGGUCCAAGUAGAAACCCGUUGU